rnacentral:tRNA from 1 species
AGCCCCAUAGUGUAGUGGUCAAGCAUCUCAGACUCUGGAUCUGGGGACCCAGGUUCAAAUCCUGGUGGGGCUA